rnacentral:rRNA from 1 species
CCUACGGGAGGCAGCAGUAGGGAAUUUUGCGCAAUGGGGGAAACCCUGACGCAGCAACGCCGCGUGAUCGAUGAAGCCCUUCGGGGUGUAAAGAUCUGUCAGUGGGGACGAAACCUGACGGUACCCACAGAGGAAGCACCGGCUAACUCCGUGCCAGCAGCCGCGGUAAUACGGGGGGUGCAAGCGUUGUCCGGAUUCACUGGGUGUAAAGGGAGCGUAGACGGCCAAGCAAGCCAGGGGUGAAAGCCCGGGGCCCAACCCCGGGACUGCCCUUGGAACUGCAUGGCUGGAGUGCGGGAGGGGCAGGCGGAAUUCCUGGUGUAGCGGUGAAAUGCGUAGAUAUCAGGAGGAACACCGGCGGCGAAGGCGGCCUGCUGGACCGCGACUGACGUUGAGGCUCGAAAGCGUGGGGAGCGAACAGGAUUAGAUACCCGAGUAGUC